AUGUUUGCGGAAGUGCCACAUUGUUUCCACGAGAUAAGCAAGCAUAGCCAGAUAUUUUUAAGCAAAUUAUAUCUGGUCUAGCAGGAGAAUCUUAUUUGGUUGAAUAAAACGGUUAAUUCUGACUAUCCAUGUUAGCUAGACACCUGGUUGUUGAACACGUUGUGAUAUGUUAAAUAUAUGUAAUUUAGCGGAAAGGAGUAUGCAUCUAGAUAUCUAUGGCGUUCGGCUCUGUAUACUAGCUACGGUUACUUUACAUUGCAUUGGGGUAUCCUUUUUAGCUAGAUCUGACCAGGGGGAAAUACAUCUGCCAGAUUUAGAGUUUUGUUCAAGUAGUGUCUGGUAACCAGUGGUGAGCCUUCAGGUCUCGCUGAUAGCCUCAAAGCUUGGCACACUGUCACUGAACCACAGUGUCUACAGGCAAUCAGCAAUGCCUGGAUGAAACAGAGGCAGACACACAGGACCUCGGCCCACAAAGACAGUGGGUGGGAGGAGAGGUUUGAAGAAGAUAUGUGUGAUUGAAGGGAGGAGGAGACAGGAUGGUUAAGUACCAUAUAGUCAGGAAACAGCUGACUUGAGUCUAAAGCUCCAGAAAGGAGGCUGAGCUGGGACACCAUGUAGAUGAUCAGGUAUCUGAAGCAGAAGCUACCAGAGGAAUGGACCGUUGACCAUCUGGCCGAGGGCUUCUCCUUGCAUCGUGACAUCUUCCUCAGAGUCCUCCGGAGCAAGUUCACCCCCACCCCAGAGAGGAAAGCGAAACAGGACUCCAGCGUGUGGGCCAGGCUGAGACAGCAGGAGCAGGCCAUACCUGGAGGUGGGACAGGGGAGGCAGCAGCGGGCCCUACCUGGGGAUGGAGGUCGGACAGGGUAGGCAAUGGGCCCUACUUGGGGAUGGAGGCGGGACAGGGUAGCCCACGGGCCCUACCUGGGGAUGGAGGAACAGAGGGACAGGGUAGGCAGCAGGUCUUACCCGGGGGUGGAGGAACAGGGGGACUGGGUAGGCAGCAGGUCCUUCCUGGGGGUGGAGGAACAGGGUAGGCAACAGGCCCUACCUGGGGAUGGAGGAACAGGGGGACAGGGUAGGCAGCAGGUCCUUCCUGGGGGUGGAGGGACAGGGUAGGCAACGGGCCCUACCUGGGGGUGGAGGAACAGGGGGACACGGUAGGCAAAAGGUCCAACCUGGGGGUGGAGGUGGGACAGGGUAGGCAGCAGCUGCCUGGCUCUGGACACAGCAGCAGUAGCACACCAGCCAUGCCACCCAACGGAAGUGGCACCGGUGCCCUAGUCCUCCUAACCAGCCAGAGUCUGAUACCCAAGGAGGGGAGGAUUGCCCUAGACCCAUGACUAUUGGAAACAGCCCCGCUCCUCUGGCCUCACUACCCACCCUGCACAGCAGAUGCACCUCAGGACAAAAAAACUCUAGGGAGGAGGAAGAUGAGAAAGAUCCAGAGGACAAUGUGUCGGAGAAGGUUGAGGAGAAAGACGAGCAGAUGAAGAGAUGGGAUGUGAACAGUGUUAUCAGAUGAAGAACUGGAGGAACUAAUGCGGUCUACAAAGCCCUGGCCUGUGCUACAGAAUGGAAAAUAGUUAUUUUCUUCUGAGGGAAACUUCCUGUACAGAAUCUGAAGUUGAGAUGUUUAUAUUUAUGAAGAUUUCUCUGUAAUGCAGUAAUAUGCAACCUUUAUUUAAAGAUGACAGACUGAUAAUGUCACAUUAUUUACCAUUCAUCUGUUAAGGUUUGAUUUUACAUUCUUGUAUCAAGUUGUUUUUCUGAACAUUAACAAAAUAAAAUCUACUCUUAUGCAAUAAUUAUAUAUAUAUAUAUAUAUAAAUCAACUUGUUCCUUUGAUAAGUUUUCUGCUCAUAUAUAUAUAUUAUCAAAGGAACAAGUUGAUUUAUUAGCCAAUAACCCAAAGCAAAAUCACCUCAAAUAUAUUGAACUACACAGCAGAUACAAAGAUGUAACGAUUCCAGAACUUUCUCACAUUGCAUUAUAACUUUAUACAGCUAUUUUAAAAUGUAAUAAAGAUGUCACCUUUCAAAUCUCAA